AAUAAAAUUAGUAUUUUAUACAAUCGUGAUAUAAUGGAGAGUUUUUCAUGUCGCUAUAUACAGUGAAACCUGGUUAAGUGGGACCUGGAUAAGUGAGAAACCUCUAUAGCUGGGACUCAUGGUGCGGUCCCGACACUUUAGCACUGAAUUACCUCUGUUAGUGAGAUAAAACGAACCUCUAUAACUGGGAUUAGUUGUUGUGAUUGUAUAGUCACAUUUACCUCUAUAAUUGAGACAGAGAGUGUAUUUUACCUCUUUUACUGAGACUAUAUUUAUAAGAUUACAUUUCCCUAAUUGUUAUUUAGAAUUUUAUAAAAAUGGACCUCUGUAUCUGAGAUAACGUCAAUCUAUGACCUCUUUAACUUGGAUUUUAGUGAUCAAUUUCCGUAUUCUUACUAACUCUUAGUCUAUCCACAUAUUCCGCAUUUGCUUAAUUGUGUCUAAACGACUUCAAGUUUUAUUUAGUUACUUUUUUUAUGUAAGUAGUUAAAACUAUCGAAACGAAAGCUGAAACCUUGAUAAGUAACACUAACAAACAAAUUUUCAUUUAUUAAAUUUCUAAGACGCAAUGAAAUCCGUAUCAAAUUUAAUGUAAUUUUAAAAUAUCUAUCCUUUGGAGAAUCAUUCAAAAUAAAUUCAAAGAAAUAUUUACACAGACUUAAAAAAUAUUUAGGGACAAGGAUUAUUGUACCUUAUUUAUUUUUAAAGAUAAUUACAAAAUACCUUAUUUACCACCUCUAUAACUGAAAUAUACUCUAUUCUAACCUCUAUUAAUGGAACCCUCUGUAAAUGAGACAGAAAUUUAUUUGUACCUGGCUAACUGAGAGCCUGGGUAAGUGGAAUACCUCUUUAAGUGAGACAAAUCUGCUCGUCCCUUGAGGUCUCACUUAUCCAGGUUUCACUGUAUAUAUAUAUAAUUA